rnacentral:rRNA from 1 species
GACGAACGCUGGCGGCGUGCUUAACACAUGCAAGUCGAACGGAAAGGCCCUACUUUUUUGGGGUUCGCGAGGGGCGAACGGGUGAGUAACACGUGAGUAACCGGCCCUUGACUUUGGGAUAACGUCAGGAAAGUGGAGCUAAUACCGUAUAGCAGCUCCUGCUGCAUGGUGGGGGUUGGAAAGUUUCGGCGGGGGGGGAUGGACGCGCGGCUGAUCAGCUUGUUGGUGGGGUAGUGGCUUACCAAGGCUUUGACGGGUAGCCGGCCUGAGAGGGUGACCGGCGACAUUGGGACUGAGAGACGCAGCAGACUCCUAUGGGAGGCAGAGGUGGGGAAUAUUGCACAAUGGGCGGAAGCCUGAUGCGGCAACGCUGCGUGCGGGAUGACGGCCUUUGGGUUGUAAAACGCUUUCGCCUGUGACGAAGCGUGAGUGACGGUACUGGGUAAAGAAGCACCGGCUAACUACGUG